CCUACGGGAGGCAGCAGUGGGGGAUAUUGGACAAUGGGGGGAACCCUGAUCCAGCAACGCCGCGUGAAGGAAGAAGGCCCUCGGGUUGUAAACUUCUUUUGUCAGGGACGAAACAAAUGACGGUACCUGACGAAUAAGCCACGGCUAACUACGGGCCAGCAGCCGCGGUAAUAAGUAGGUGGCAAGCGUUAUCCGGAUUUACUGGGUGUAAAGGACGUGUAGGCGGGAGAGCAAGUCAAAUGUGAAAGUCCAGGUCUCAACCCUGGAACUGACUUUGAAACUGUUUUUAUUGAGGGAUGGAGAGGCAGGCGGAAUUCCGUGUGUAGCGGGGAAAUGCGUAGAUAUACGGAGGAACACCAGUGGCGAAGGCGGCCUGCUGGACAUUAACUGACGCUGAGGCGCGAAAGCGUGGGGAGCAAACAGGAUUAGAUACCCCAGUAGUC
rnacentral:rRNA from 1 species